GCCCCUGUAGCUCAGCGGAUAGAGCAUCGGACUACGGAUCCGUGUGUCGGAGGUUCGAAUCCUCUCAGGGGUA
rnacentral:tRNA from 1 species